GAGUUUGAUCCUGGUCAGAAUCAACGCUGGCGGCGUGCNUAACACAUGCAAGUCGAACGCGGUUGCCCCGCAAGGGGUGACUGAGUGGCGAACGGGUGAGUAACACGUGGGUGACCUGCCUUCGAGUGGGGGAUAACGUCCCGAAAGGGACGCUAAUACCGCAUGACAUCCUGGCUUUGAACAGCCGGAUAUUAAAGCUGGGGAUCGCAAGACCUGGCGCUUGAAGAGGGGCCCGCGCCCGAUUAGCUAGUUGGUGGGGUAAUGGCCUACCAAGGCGACGAUCGGUAGCCGGCCUGAGAGGGCGGACGGCCACACUGGGANUGAGACACGGCCCAGACUCCUACGGGGGGCAGCAGA
rnacentral:rRNA from 1 species